CUUAAAUUGAAGAGUUUGAUCAUGGCUCAGAUUGAACGCUGGCGGCAGGCCUAACACAUGCAAGUCGAGCGGUAGCACAGAGAGCUUGCUCUCGGGUGACGAGCGGCGGACGGGUGAGUAAUGUCUGGGAAACUGCCUGAUGGAGGGGGAUAACUACUGGAAACGGUAGCUAAUACCGCAUAACGUCGCAAGACCAAAGUGGGGGACCUUCGGGCCUCAUGCCAUCAGAUGUGCCCAGAUGGGAUUAGCUAGUAGGUGGGGUAACGGCUCACCUAGGCGACGAUCCCUAGCUGGUCUGAGAGGAUGACCAGCCACACUGGAACUGAGACACGGUCCAGACUCCUACGGGAGGCAGCAGUGGGGAAUAUUGCACAAUGGGCGCAAGCCUGAUGCAGCCAUGCCGCGUGUGUGAAGAAGGCCUUCGGGUUGUAAAGCACUUUCAGCGGGGAGGAAGGCGGUGAGGUUAAUAACCUCAUCGAUUGACGUUACCCGCAGAAGAAGCACCGGCUAACUCCGUGCCAGCAGCCGCGGUAAUACGGAGGGUGCAAGCGUUAAUCGGAAUUACUGGGCGUAAAGCGCACGCAGGCGGUCUGUCAAGUCGGAUGUGAAAUCCCCGGGCUCAACCUGGGAACUGCAUUCGAAACUGGCAGGCUAGAGUCUUGUAGAGGGGGGUAGAAUUCCAGGUGUAGCGGUGAAAUGCGUAGAGAUCUGGAGGAAUACCGGUGGCGAAGGCGGCCCCCUGGACAAAGACUGACGCUCAGGUGCGAAAGCGUGGGGAGCAAACAGGAUUAGAUACCCUGGUAGUCCACGCUGUAAACGAUGUCGAUUUGGAGGUUGUGCCCUUGAGGCGUGGCUUCCGGAGCUAACGCGUUAAAUCGACCGCCUGGGGAGUACGGCCGCAAGGUUAAAACUCAAAUGAAUUGACGGGGGCCCGCACAAGCGGUGGAGCAUGUGGUUUAAUUCGAUGCAACGCGAAGAACCUUACCUGGUCUUGACAUCCACAGAACUUAGCAGAGAUGCUUUGGUGCCUUCGGGAACUGUGAGACAGGUGCUGCAUGGCUGUCGUCAGCUCGUGUUGUGAAAUGUUGGGUUAAGUCCCGCAACGAGCGCAACCCUUAUCCUUUGUUGCCAGCGGUUAGGCCGGGAACUCAAAGGAGACUGCCAGUGAUAAACUGGAGGAAGGUGGGGAUGACGUCAAGUCAUCAUGGCCCUUACGACCAGGGCUACACACGUGCUACAAUGGCAUAUACAAAGAGAAGCGACCUCGCGAGAGCAAGCGGACCUCAUAAAGUAUGUCGUAGUCCGGAUUGGAGUCUGCAACUCGACUCCAUGAAGUCGGAAUCGCUAGUAAUCGUAGAUCAGAAUGCUACGGUGAAUACGUUCCCGGGCCUUGUACACACCGCCCGUCACACCAUGGGAGUGGGUUGCAAAAGAAGUAGGUAGCUUAACCUUCGGGAGGGCGCUUACCACUUUGUGAUUCAUGACUGGGGUGAAGUCGUAACAAGGUAACCGUAGGGGAACCUGCGGUUGGAUCACCUCCUUA
rnacentral:rRNA from 1 species